rnacentral:rRNA from 1 species
AUGCUCCAAGGAAUUGGCAGCCUCAAGAGAUUCAAAACAAUAAUUGAUCAAGCAAAGAACCUCACCAUCUUCAUCUAUGCGCAUCACAAGACUUUGGCAUUGAUGAGGGUUGCUACAAAAAGGAGAGAUAUCAUAAGGCCGGGGGUGACUAGAUUUGCUUCCGCUUUUCUCACAUUGCAAAGUUUGUUGGAGAAGAAAGAUGCUUUAAGGUAUAUGGUGGUUGAAAGAGCUUGGGAAGAUAUGAAAAAUGUGAAAACAAAGAAAGGCAAGGAUGCAACGGCAACGGUGAUGGAUGCAAACUUUUGGAAAGGUGUGCUCCUAUGCAUAAAGGUGUUUGAGCCAUUGGUGAGAGUACUUCGUUUGGUUGAUGGGGAUAUUAAGCCGUCGAUGGCUUGGUUGUAUGGAGAGUUGGUGAAUGCAAAGAGGGAGAUGAAGGAGGCAUUUAACAACUUAGAGAGGAACUACAAAGAUACUAUGGGCAUUGUUGAAAAGAAGAUGAAUGGAAGGCUAGAUUCUCCACUGCACAUGGCCGCAUAUGUGUUGAACCCACACUAUAGUUAUGCAGAUAGCUCCGUCUUUACCACUGCAAAUGAAGGAUUUCAGGAGUGUGCUGAACAAUACUAUGCAAAUGAUCAUGAUACUUGCAUGCUGGUUGUCAAUGACGAGUUUCUGAAAUAUGAAAACAAAGAAGGAACUUUUGGAAAGAAGCUUGCAAAAGCAUGUGAAAAUAAAAGCUAUAGCCCCGGUAUACUUGCUUGCUCCUGCCCACUAGUUGCUACUCUUUUCUUGCUGCUGCUAUUGAAGUAUUGA